UCAGUCAGGGUCACCAAGUUUAACACUGCCUGACGAGAGCACGAAGAGUGUUUCAGAUGCGCGGUCAAUGCGACAGCGCGCAGGUAUAUAUGUAGGGUGAGUCGAAGGAGAGGAGUCACAUCGUGUUCAACAGGCUCCUUCGGUACACACACGCACACACCCAAAGCAGAACCAGCAAGAAAAUCUUGUGAAAAUCUCAAAAGAAAAAUGAAUAAGACUACAGCCGCUCUUCUCGUCAUCGUCGUGCUAGCCGUCAUCGGCAUGGCAGCUGCAGGUUACGGUGGUGGAUACGGACGCGGUGGAUACGGCGGCGGAUACGGUGGAUACGGACGCGGUGGAUACGGAGGCGGAUAUGGCGGAAACAGAGGCGGAUACGGAGGCGGAUAUGGAGGAUACGGAGGCGGAUACGGAGGCGGAUAUGGAGGAUACGGAGGCGGAUACGGAGGCUAUCGCGGCUAACGCGGCGCACGAAGAUACCGACUUGCUGUUAGUGUAUAGGCUCCUGAACGCUGAGCGCGUUAAUAGACCGUAGUAUAGAGAUCUAUGUACAUACAUAGAAUCGUGAUGGAGAUACAUGCUUCCAACUCAACCCCAAUACGGCGAUGCAAUGUCGUUCAUAAAUGCGCAAAUUGAUGAGCAUUUCAAUAAAUCGGAAAUUUAUAGGCAUAUAGAUGUAUUUCGGUAAAUGAAUUGAGUGUAUUCCUGAUUUGUACUUAUUUGCAUGUCUAUUACGAAGAUGCUUUGUCCAGUUUUGAUGUACUGUAAAACACAAAAUAUUUCUGUUUAAAUAAAAACGCUUUCUUCUAAGAAUAA